rnacentral:lncRNA from 7 species
ACAACACAAUCGAUCCAAUCGAUCAAUAUUUGAUUUCCUUCACUUUCUCGCCCUAAGAGUAGCAUUAAUCUAGCCCUAGUAUUAGUAUUCAUCGACCUAUUCCUUCAUCCCUAGGCGAGUCUACGCCAUCUAGGGACGCCCUAGGUGGUCUAUGACCAUAGAGCACCCCCUAGAACCCUCCUCCCUGACGGGGUCCCUCCCAAGAGAUGAAAUCUAAGGCUCUACGUCACCAGUAGAUGCUCUACACCAUCACAGACAGUCCUAGCCCUGCAUGCUGAUCGUCCGGUGGGACGCAGAGAAGACCCGCUCCUGCGUUGAGGUUGUGGAUCGUCCGACCCCAUACCACGGAUUGUCCACGCUCACGCAAAGGACACCGCUAGGAGGUACAACCCUAGUGUUUGGUCCCAAAUCGGAGCCAACAGAACCAAACACCCCCUUAUACUAGCAUUGAAUGGUGUUAUUGUUUGAAUGAUUGAUGAUGUGUGUGUCCAUCAAGCGAGACGUAUAUUUAUAUUUAUAUCUAAAUCUAUUGCAAAACUCACUGUAAUACUCAAAAUUUUACAAAAGGAUUAUAUAGAGGUCUCCUCAUUUUAUGUGCCAUAUUUGCAUCAUAAAAAGAGCAUGCAUAGUAAGAGUGAUUAAUUAAAACCACUGAUACUAAAAUAAAAGAAAAUGCAUCAUGUUGGAGUUUAUAUGUUUGUGCAUUAAAUAAAACCAUAAGGAUAAUAAUAAUAAGAUAAUAAUUAUUAGAAGUUGUGUUAAACCCUAAUUUGAAAUUAGGGUUUUGGAAAAUAAGAAAAAGAGAAGGGAUAUAAAGAUGUAAAUAAUAUAUUUAAAUAAAUAUUCUCAAACUUAGUACUUUUAGUGCACAAAUAAAGUUUGUAACCGAUGAGCCACAAAAGUUUGAAUCUAAAUUGAAAUUCAAAUUAGGAUUUAAAAAUAAAAG